UCUGGAGUGUGAUAGGUUUGCUAAUGCAGUCAAUAAAUGGACAAACUUUGAAAGAGCAAGUGAUUUAAUUACUGUAAUUUUUCCCAAUAAUGUGAGUUUUCGAUGUUGCCAGCUCUUCAGAAUUGCAGAGACCUCUUUAAUUUUCUUAGCAAAAUUAAUUUCUGUGAUACAGCUUAAAUCUAAAGAAAAUUCAAUCCCCAAAAGUUUAAAAUUUUAAUGUCACCAAUGAAGUUUUAAGUUGGGACAUAAAAUAAGAUCAGAAUAUUUUUACUUCCAACCCAUAGUGCCUUUGUCUUUGAAGCAUUUAUUUUAAAACCUGAAAUUUUAUAAAGAGAUUCAAAACAUGAAAGUGUUUCCCUCAAUGAUAUUUCCCUUCCAUCUAACAUAAGGAAUGUGUCAUCUGCGUACAUGCUUAAAAGUGAUUCAUUAUCAUUGAUAGUAAUUCCCCUUUAGGUAUGUCAGAAGGUUAUUCAGAAUUUCAAAAUAUAUCUGAAUUCAUUAAGUCUUCAUUGGAAUUAGCUGGGUUUUUGAUAAAUGAACAAAAAUUUAUCUUUGAUCCAGUUCAACGCUUAGAAUGGCUCGGACUAAUUUGGGAUUCGGUAAACUUUAGUUUAGCAAUGUCCGAACGUAGAUUAAAUGAUGCAAAAGAAUCGCUUGACAAUAUUUUGAAAAAAAAUCUCAUUAUAAGUGCUCGUCAGUUAGCACAGUUCACAGGUAGAAUUAUUUCUAUGUCCCCAGUUAUGGGCAAUGUCACUAGCCUGAUGACGAGGCAUUUAUAUUUUGCAAUUGAGGACAGAAAGUCAUGGGAUAGUAUUUUAGAUAUUGCUUACACUGAGUGUGUAUUAGCAGAGUUGAGAUUUUGGUCAGACAGUUUGACAAAUCUUAAUCAAAAGAAAUUUGUGAAUGCCACCUACAGGCGCUCGUCUCAGAAUUUGUUUUCCCUGUAUACUUUAAAGGCUUUAUAUAACACUAUAUAUUCUAGUUAUCGUAUGAUUUUGGCUCGUGUUUCUCGUGCUUGUUGUUUGAUAUAAAUUAAAUGGAAUUUAUAAUGUUAUUAUUCGAAGUUCUACCUUACGCCGGUUAGCGUACGCCAUACUACUGCAUUGCCCUAUUAACCCCCUACCCCAACCCACUAUCAACAAGACCAUCUAUUAUUUUCAUGUUGAAAGUUGUGAUUUAUUUACAAUGAUUCGUUUAACUUGUAUUUCUUGUUUUGUAGAUUGGUAUAUAUUUGUAUUUAUUAUAGAUGGCUGACUGUGAUCGAGCCAGUAUGUUUUUAGUGUCUCAAUAAUGAAAAUAAGCAGUAGUGUGAUUGAAUGACUUUAAAACGAACUGUUUGAUUUAAAUUAAUUAUACAUUCGUUAAUAAAAGUAUGCUACCCUCACAAGGAGAGCUCAUUUCUGAUACAUGAGUUUUAUUGUAUAAAUUAUUU
rnacentral:lncRNA from 1 species